CCUAACACAUGCAAGUCGAACGGUAACAGGAAGAAGCUUGCUUCUUUGCUGACGAGUGGCGGACGGGUGAGUAAUGUCUGGGAAACUGCCUGAUGGAGGGGGAUAACUACUGGAAACGGUAGCUAAUACCGCAUAACGUCGCAAGACCAAAGAGGGGGACCUUCGGGCCUCUUGCCAUCGGAUGUGCCCAGAUGGGAUUAGCUAGUAGGUGGGGUAACGGCUCACCUAGGCGACGAUCCCUAGCUGGUCUGAGAGGAUGACCAGCCACACUGGAACUGAGACACGGUCCAGACUCCUACGGGAGGCAGCAGUGGGGAAUAUUGCACAAUGGGCGCAAGCCUGAUGCAGCCAUGCCGCGUGUAUGAAGAAGGCCUUCGGGUUGUAAAGACUUUCAGCGGGGAGGAAGGGAGUAAAGUUAAUACCUUUGCUCAUUGACGUUACCCGCAGAAGAAGCACCGGCUAACUCCGUGCCAGCAGCCGCGGUAAUACGGAGGGUGCAAGCGUUAAUCGGAAUUACUGGGCGUAAAGCGCACGCAGGCGGUUUGUUAAGUCAGAUGUGAAAUCCCCGGGCUCAACCUGGGAACUGCAUCUGAUACUGGCAGGCUUGAGU
rnacentral:rRNA from 1 species